UCGAUCGACUUCUACGUAGAAGAGGUACGUCUCCAGGAUUGUUUUCGAGAUUGAUAUGAAGGAUCUCUCUUUUCUUCGAACAUAUUCAAAAGAGAAAACCACUAGCCGACACUAGUGAUGUUAGGAGUAAACGGCGAAGGAGACAUUUUUUUUCUCACCUUACCCGGUAGAGGUAGGCGCAGGUCCUAACCGGGCUGACGGGGAAUGGCAUUCAGGGAGCAACGUAUCAACCAGCUCGUUUUAUUAUGCUCCUUACACCUAUACUCAUCAUUAGCAGGUACCACUUGAGUUUACCUCAACUAAAACUGUCAACGUCAAAACUAGACCCAGAACAAAUGAGCUUCUAAAGUAACGGCACGACAAAGAAGCGAACCUCGAAGGUAAAACAACCACCGUGGUCUCCCGCUCAGGUCGGAAUGACACGGGAAAUGGAUCGAUUACCCGGCUGCUAUCUUAACUGUUCUUCUCUCGUGUCUUCGUCCCUUACCUGCUGGUAACACUGCUGCGCAUGCAUGCUCUAGAGAUCUCGAGCCCAAUAUGAACCCAAGCGAGGGCUGGGGAGGGAGGGACGCUGUGUGACCGGGUAUGGCCGCCGCGAGUGAGGCCGCGGCAGCCGGUGGAGUGAGGAGGACGUGGGACGCGAGGACCGGCCCGUGGUGGCGGGGAGGGGACGCGCCAGACCCUCAAGGGACGGGACGUCGCGGGGCGCCGGAGUCUAGCCCGCCGGCGGCUAGACCUAGCCCUAAAGCGGUGCGGCGGGGGAGGCAGCGGACCCGCGGGCAACCCGCGACACCUGCUGGCGCGGACACAGGACCUCUGGGGAGGGCUCGACGACCCGUUGCGACCAGAGGGGGGAGGGCGGUAGUUACGCCGACAACCCACGACGAGCCGGUCGAGCCGCCCGUAACUACCGGCCCCGUAGUGCCCUACCGAACUGACGAAAGCCGGCGGGCGCCGAGUCCUACCCUGCUGCCGUGAGCUACCCUGCCGUCGCGUAAGUGAGGGCGCGCCGCGCGGCCGGCGUCCCGAGCUCCGCCUCUCCUGCCUCGGAACCCACCUCCAGGCGGAGAGACCGAAGCGUGUCGCCGGCCGAUAGCUGUGGACUCCUCCGUAGGAGUACGACACCCUACUUUUGGAAGAACUGCACCGGUUAGCAACAGCGAAGCUGGAUGCCGGAAAGCCGCUACCACGCAUAGGCACGCAGACUGCACACGAAGUUCCGCUGAAGCCAGAUACCUGGAUGGCUGAGUAGAACGUUUCUACGUAAGAAGCGGCUCAACUAGUCAGUGUUCGGAAGCAGCCCUCCAGGGUUCUCUGGCGUGAAGACCCGGAGGGACGGCCCAAAACGACUCUAGCGCGCGUUCCGCACCCUGCUCGUACGCCGGGUGAGACUCGGAAAAGACCAGGACGUAGUGUUCGAGUUCUUUUUGCGCGAAGCAGAGUGGCUUACCUCGUUCUUCUACAAGAGGUUCCGGUUUUAGGUCGAAGUACGCCGGAACGAGUAGUAGGAAGCAGAACUGUAACGGGUCCUCCUCUCCGGGGACAGAUUACUCCUCGAACUAAACGCAAGCGCCGACUUCUCCUCCGGACUCCACGAGGAAUGUUAGAGCCUUCAAAGUCUUUGUAGCUACUAGGAUCUAAACCGUGGGAGUCCUGUACCAUCAUGGACU
rnacentral:rRNA from 1 species